rnacentral:rRNA from 1 species
GAUGAACGCUGGCGGCGUGCCUAAUACAUGCAAGUCGAGCGAACAGACGAGGAGCUUGCUCCUCUGACGUUAGCGGCGGACGGGUGAGUAACACGUGGAUAACCUACCUAUAAGACUGGGAUAACUUCGGGAAACCGGAGCUAAUACCGGAUAAUAUAUUGAACCGCAUGGUUCAAUAGUGAAAGACGGUUUUGCUGUCACUUAUAGAUGGAUCCGCGCCGCAUUAGCUAGUUGGUAAGGUAACGGCUUACCAAGGCAACGAUGCGUAGCCGACCUGAGAGGGUGAUCGGCCACUCUGGAACUGAGGCGCGGACCAGACUCCUACGGGUGGAAGCAGUAGGGAAUCUUCCGCAAUGGGCGAAAGCCUGACAGAACAGCGCCGCGUGAGUGAUGAAGGUCUUCGGAUCGUAAAACUCUGUUAUUAGUGAAGAACAAAUGUGUAAGUAUCUAUGCGCGUCUUGACGGUACCUAAUCAGAAAGCCACGGCUAACUACGUG